UACGUAGGGGGCAAGCGUUGUCCGGAUUUAUUGGGCGUAAAGAGCGUGUAGGCGGCCAAGCAGGUCCGCUGUGAAAACUCGAGGCUCAACCUCGAGACGUCGGUGGAAACCGUUUGGCUAGAGUCCGGAAGAGGAGAGUGGAAUUCCCGGUGUAGCGGUGAAAUGCGCAGAUAUCAGGAGGAACACCAAUGGCGAAGGCAGCACUCUGGGACGUGACUGACGCUGAGACGCGAAAGCGUGGGGAGCGAACAGG
rnacentral:rRNA from 1 species